AGUGAACGCUGGCGGUAGGCCUAACACAUGCAAGUCGAACGGCAGCACAGUAAGAGCUUGCUCUUACGGGUGGCGAGUGGCGGACGGGUGAGGAAUACAUCGGAAUCUACUUUUUCGUGGGGGAUAACGUAGGGAAACUUACGCUAAUACCGCAUACGACCUACGGGUGAAAGCAGGGGAUCUUCGGACCUUGCGCGAUUGAAUGAGCCGAUGUCGGAUUAGCUAGUUGGCGGGGUAAAGGCCCACCAAGGCGACGAUCCGUAGCUGGUCUGAGAGGAUGAUCAGCCACACUGGAACUGAGACACGGUCUAGACUCCUACGGGAGGCAGCAGUGGGGAAUAUUGGACAAUGGGCGCAAGCCUGAUCCAGCCAUACCGCGUGGGUGAAGAGGGCCUUCGGGUUGUAAAGCCCUUUUGUUGGGAAAGAAAAGCAGCAGGUUAAUACCCCGCUGUUCUGACGGUACCCAAAGAAUAAGCACCGGCUAACUUCGAG
rnacentral:rRNA from 1 species